GUUACUUUGGUAGUGAUUAGAUAAUUGUACUGUCUAGUCUGUUUUGUCUGAGGAACAGGACUCUUUCAGCAUUUGUGGUUUUCCAGUAGACCACACUCAGCUGAAAGCAAGACUGUACUGAGACACCAAGGCUCUGAUAAUAAGGGCCUUUGCCCUUCCAACAGACUGAGGGCGGGCCUUGAAAUACUCUUUGAACACACAAUUCUAUUUUAGCUUUAAAAAGACCAUGUGACUCCCCUGGAUGAGUGCUUUAAAUCACCCUUCUCUAUUACGGAGGCCCAGUCCUAACAUCUCAUUUACCUUAUUUCAUGUGUAGGAGGAAGAAACAAUUAUGGGUUUUGAUAUCUUCACUGCUAACUAUUCCUAUAAAUUAUCCUCUAAGAAACACCACCACCCCUUCUCAAAAAUGGUGCAUGAGCAUGUAUUUUCUUAGGAGUACUCACACUAUUGGAUGUGGAAAACUGGUCAUGCUCAACUGAAUGAACUAUAGAAAAAUGCCUUUAGUUUUCCAUCUUUGAACUACAAUCUUUGAAGAAACUCCUUGUGCAGGUAAAACUUGGUUCCCAGGACUGCAACUGAGGAAUUCACAAUCUCAAGGGAGAAGCAAGUGAUCCUGGUAGGGUGGUUUUAAAGCGCUUCCCAAGCUUAUAUAUACACAAGAAUGUAAUUUUUUAAUCCUAUUUUUAAGCUGAUUUACAGACUAGUAAAACAAAUUACAGUCAGCCUUCCAUAUCCAUGGUGGAUUCAACGGAUAGAAAAUGUUCAGGGUGAAAAAUUCCCACGAAGUUCUAAAAGACACAAUGAAUUUGCCACGUGCUGAGUACUAUGUUGCAUCCACGUGAAUGAAGUGAUGUGUGGUCAUUGUAUUGGGUAUUGAAAGUAAUGUAGAGAUGAUUUAUAGUAUAUGGGAGGAUGUGCACAGGUUAUAUGCAAAUAUUGUGCCAUUUUACAAAGGGAAUUAAGCAUCCAUGGAUUUUGGUAUUUGUGAGGAUCCUGGAACCAACCCACACUGAUACCAAGGGACAACUACAUAGAGGCAUACAGGGCAAAAAGUGAAAGGGCAAGUGCACUUCGUCCCCAGAUUCUACAGCCUCUAAGUUCGUGUGGAUCUUUCUACAACUUUUCUGUGCAUUUUUUUUUUACACUGUGUAUCCUUUUUCAAUGUCCAGCGUAUUUUGGCUACAAAGUACCAUGUAAUAAGAUUAUGCCACCAUUUACUUAAAUAUUUUCCCAUUAUGGACACAGGUCGCUCCUCCCCACAAUAUUCUGUGGUUACAAUGUACUGAAGGAAUCGUAGUACACAACAUCUUCGUACAUUCUUACAAGUAUUCUAUAGGAUAAAUUCCUGGAAGGGAAAUGUCUGGGUCAAAGCGUAAGCUAAAUUUUAAAUUUUUGAUGUUAUAGGCUGGGCGCGGUGGCUCACGCACGUAAUCCCAGCACUUUGGGAGGCCGAGGCGGGUGACUUUGAUCACAAGGUCAAGAGAUCAAGACCAUCCUGGCCAAUAUGGUGAACCUGUCUCUAAAAAUACAAAAAAAAAAAAAAA
rnacentral:lncRNA from 1 species